GGCGAGGAUGGGGCGGCGACCCGGUGUCUGGGCAUCCGCCCCGCAGGGAGCGCCAGCUCGGAGUGUAACAACCCACACCACCGCCAUCGACUCGAUUCUGACGCCUCGUGACCGUCUUGGACAGGGUAGAACUUCCCCGUGAGUUUCCAAACCUGUGGAGCUCAUCCUUCUCCCUCAGAGAGGCUGGCGGUUUCGAACUGCUGGCCUUGUGAGAAGCAGCCGCACGCAUAAACCAUGACACCAAAUCCGGGCAAUUGGGAUUACCCCCUGCAGAGUUCCAGCACCGCUGUGACUUGGCCCGCCCUGAGCUCUGCCCUCCACGAACCUGUGAGGUUAGUGAUCCUCUAAAGGAGUGAGGACCAGAAAAUAAUCCAGGACUUUGCUCCUAGAUCACACAUCUUGGAAGAAGUGAGCCCCAUUUUAUUCCCCUUAACCGCCCUUGCACACCACCAGGCCCCCAUAAACCAACCCAACGGCGUGGAGAACCGGUCCAGACACCACGUGAAGAGGAUCCACCAGAGCUACCUCGUUAGGAAACGUUAUGUUCACUGUGAGUUCCCACCUUGGACCCCUUUGAAGAUGAAAGGGAUACUGUGGCCUACCUCCCUAGAAAAGUAGUCAGAACACUUCAAACACCUGCAGACACGAAGUGAAGGCAGUCAGUCAGCCCUGGUCCAAUGCACCAGGUACUGUGUUCAUCAGUGAGAAAACAGGCCUUGCUAUACCACUGUCGAUGUGAGUUUCAAAAAACGCCCUAAGACAGGACAUUUGUUUCUUCCUGCAGAGAACGUUGAUGCUGAUUUGCCCAGUGCCGUCUGUCGUUGGAUUUCGUAACUUGAACACCACUUCCCUGGACGUCCAUCGUGGACGUGGAGACCGGAAAAGAAACAAAAGAUUGCGCUCUGGACAGGAUGCAGAGAAAGGAUGCUAACUGCUCGUUCCCCUCGCCAGGAGCCGUCAGCGCGGUGGGAGAGUCCUUCCCAAUGUGGCAAAAAUGAGGCGGCUCGUAUGACUGAACGAUUGAAACGUAUGACAUGGGAUUGAUACGUCUUUAAAACGGUUUUGUUUAAAAAAACCAAUGCAAACAUUAUAUAUAUAUAUAGACCCACCUCCCAUCUGCAGUGGGAAACUAAUACACCGAGCCACCUCCUGCGCAGAAUCAAGUGGAUUUUCUUUUAAUCCCCAACCAAGAAAAGUAAAGGCAAACGUCAGUGAAUCUGUGUUCUGUGAAGUGAGGCCCCGGUUUUGAACCGCCGGCCGUCAUUUCAUUGAACAACCUCCACUGACCACUGUGAGGGGUCCAAACAGUCUCGGGCCUCUGGGAGGUUGCAAAUGAGGCCGUUGGGCACGUGAAUGCUUUGUGGACUGGAACAAGGAAGAUGGAAACGGACAGGAAGAAAGAGAAAGUCUAGUUGUUCUGUCAACGUUUGCGUCUCUCCCAUUCUCGCAAGAUCAGAAGGGCUUCAUUUGGUGAGGUCCCUCUGUCCAUUGCUUUUCUUAUUCUCUCCUUGGCCUGCUUUUGGUGUCGCGCGCAAACUAAGAAUUACCUGCCGAGAGCCCUGAUUUCCUCCUGCGUCUUCUUUUAGAUGUCCUACAUUACUGAGCUCGCUUGCUGGGAGCGAGGAGGACUGGAAGCGCUUCUGAUGAAGACCCAGGACCGCAGCCUUCAGGACGGAUGACCAAACCCUCACAAACGCAUGGGUCGGUAGCAUCAUGCUAAACGGAGAACAGGUUGUCAACGAUUUCGUCUUGCUUGGAUCCAUAAUCAAUGCUCAUGGAAGCAGCCGUCAGAUGAUCAAAAGACCUGCUGCAUUAGGCACAUCUGCUGCACAGACCUCUUUAGAGUGUUGAAAAGCAAGGGUGUUAGUUUGAGGACUAAGGUGCGCCUGACUGAAGCCAUGGUAUUUCCAGCGCCUCCUGCGCAGGUAGAAGUUGGACACUGGCUUCGGAGGCCCGGAGAAGAAUGCGUGCAUUGGAGUGGCCGCGCUGGGGAAGAACACUGAAAGCAGCACGGCCGCUAGAAGGACAGGCAGACCUGCCUUGCAAGAAGUAAGCUCGGAGUGCUCCUUAGAGGCAAGCAUGGCGAGGCUUCGUCUUACAUACUGUGGUCAUACUGUCCGGAGAGACCAGUCCUGGAGACGGACAUCGUGCUUGAAAAUGCAGAGGGGCAGUGAAGGAGAGGAAGGCCUUCCAAGAGAUUAACUAGCACUGGGCCUGCAACCAUGGGCUCAGGCACAGGACAUUGUGAGGACGGGGCAGGCCAGACCGGGUUUCAUUCUGUUGUGCACAAGGUGACAGUGGGUGGGAAAUGACUCGAUGGCACUUAACAAGAGCAGCAACAGUUUCAUAGUUCACACGCAAAUAUAUCAUCCAUGUUGAGUUUCGUAUGAGGUGCAAGGCUCAGA